GACGAACGCUGGCGGCGUGCCUAAUACAUGCAAGUCGAGCGAAGUUUUUCUGGUGCUUGCACCGGAAAAACUUAGCGGCGAACGGGUGAGUAACACGUAAAGAACCUGCCUCAUAGACUGGGACAACUAUUGGAAACGAUAGCUAAUACCGGAUAACAGCAUUAACUGCAUGGUUGAUGUUUAAAAGUUGGUUUUGCUAACACUAUGAGAUGGCUUUGCGGUGCAUUAGCUAGUUGGUGGGGUAAAGGCCUACCAAGGCGACGAUGCAUAGCCGACCUGAGAGGGUGAUCGGCCACACUGGGACUGAGACACGGCCCAGACUCCCACGGGAGGCAGCAGUAGGGAAUCUUCCGCAAUGGGCGAAAGCCUGACGGAGCAACGCCGCGUGAGUGAAGAAGGAUUUCGGUUCGUAAAGCUCUGUUGUUAGGGAAGAAUGAUUGUGUAGUAACUAUACACAGUAGAGACGGUACCUAACCAGAAAGCCACGGCUAACUACGUG
rnacentral:rRNA from 1 species